rnacentral:rRNA from 1 species
GACGAACGCUGGCGGCGUGCUUAACACAUGCAAGUCGAACGGAAAGGCCCUGCUUUUGUGGGGUGCUCGAGUGGCGAACGGGUGAGUAACACGUGAGUAACCUGCCCUUGACUUUGGGAUAACUUCAGGAAACUGGGGCUAAUACCGGAUAGGAGCUCCUGCUGCACGGUGGGGGUUGGAAAGUUUCGGCGGUUGGGGAUGGACUCGCGGCUUAUCAGCUUGUUGGUGGGGUAGUGGCUUACCAAGGCUUUGACGGGUAGCCGGCCUGAGAGGGUGACCGGCCACAUUGGGACUGAGAUACGGCCCAGACUCCUACGGGAGGCAGCAGUGGGGAAUAUUGCACAAUGGGCGGAAGCCUGAUGCAGCAACGCCGCGUGCGGGAUGACGGCCUUCGGGUUGUAAACCGCUUUCAGCAGGGACGAAGCUUUUUGUGACGGUACCUGCAGAAGAAGCACCGGCUAACUACGUG